UCGCUCUCUCAAACACUGUACUAUCUCAAAUUCUCUCACGAACCCUUCACAAAACCCUCUCUCUCUCUCUCAACUCUCUCUCACAUCGAUGAAGCACAUCUCCCUCUCGCCAUCCACCGAACUUGACGAGAUCGCCAUCUCCGUCACGCCGUUCAGGACACGGAGUUCACCGAGAUCGCCAUCUCCAUCGCGUCGUUCAGUCCACCGAGCUCACCGCGUUCAGUCCACCGAACUCGCCUCGUUCGCCAAAAUUUAUUCUCUCCCUCUGAAAACGAACCAAGCUCAAGCACUAAUUUGAAGGGAAAAACUACAACUUCAACCCAGAGUGGACAUGCAACUGGCGAUGAUUGGCAAUAGGAGGUCUAUAAAAAAGUUGCUCAAGUGCUUCUCACACUGCCAUGCAUAUUCAUUUUCCCAACUGGAUUUGCUAUAUGGGAUUCUAUUUCAGCUUUUUUAUGGGUUGGUGGGAAGCUGGACUGCUUAUCUCAUCAGUCAACUAUAUGUUGAGUACAGAACUAGAAGGGAAAGAGCAAAGGUUGAUUUUAGGAAUCAUGUAAUUUAGUAUACUCCAUUAUUUAGGAAGUAUGUAUGUGAUAGGAAUAAAGAUUGAUUAACUAUGCAAUAAUAUUGAAUCUUCAAGUUUUAUGAAAUAAACAAUUUUUGAG